AGCAGCCGCGGUAAUUCCAGCUCCAAUAGCGUAUAUUAAAGUUGUUGCAGUUAAAAGCUCGUAGUUGAAUUUCGGGAUUGGCGCAUCGGUCGUGCCUCACGGGGUAUGAGCUGGUGCAGUCAAUUUCUCACCUUCUGGAGAACCGCGAUGUCCUUAAUUGGAUGCCGUGGGGAACCAGGACCUUUACUUUGAAAAAAUUGAGUGUUUAAAGCAGGCAUUUUUGCUUGAAUACAUUAGCAUGGAAUAAUAAAAUAGGACGGCAUGGUUCUAUUUUGUUGGUUUCUAGGACCACCGUAAUGAUUAAUAGGGAUAGUUGGGGGCAUUAGUAUUCAAUUGUCAGAGGUGAAAUUCUUGGAUUUAUUGAAGACUAACUACUGCGAAAGCAUUUGCCAAGGAUGUUUUCAUUAAUCAAAAACGAAAGUUAGGGAUCGAAGACGAUCAGAUACCGUCGUAGUCUUAACCAUAAACUAUGCCGACUAGGAAUCAGACGAUGUUAAUUUUUUAAUGUACUCGUUUGGCA
rnacentral:misc_RNA from 1 species